UCAGCACUUCACUGAGAGGGAAAACGACAUGGCGAUUGCUCUGUACUAUGGCUAUGCAAUGUAGGAGAUGAUGGGAGUGCUGGUGCCCCUUUCUUUCGGCACCGGCUGUUUUUCCAUAGAGAGGUAGCUCCGUAGAUAGAUAAUAGGUUGGCAGAUAGACAUGAAUUUCAGAAUCUGGAUAGAUUUUAUCACUCAACAAAACUGAACAAAUAUGGGAAAUCGGUCGUCCGACCUGGGUAGAGGGGCGAAAGACCAAUGGAACCGUCUAGCAGCUGGUUCCCUCCGCAGUUUCCCUGGGGAUAGCUGGCGCUCUGGCAGACGCACAAAAGACGCACUUUGAUCCAUCCGGUAAAGCGAAUCAUUAGAGGUCUUGGGGCAGAAAGGAUCUCAACCUCGUCUCAAGCUUUCUUUCAAUGGGUCAGAAGCCCGGCUCGCUGGCGGGGAGCCGGGCGUGGAAUGCGAGUGCCUAGCGGGCCACUUUUGGUAAGCAGAACUGGCGCUGCGGGGUGAACCGAACGCCUGCUGAAGGCGCCCGAUGCAGAAGCUCAUCAGACCCCAGAAAAGCUGUUGGACAGCAGGACGGGGGUCAUGGAAGUCGGAAUGCGCUAAGGAGUGUGGAACAACUCAGCUGCGGAAUCAACUAGCCCUGAAAACGGAUGGCGCCGGUGCCGCGGGCCCAUACCCGGCAGUAGUUCUUCCAAGGAGAACUUGGAAGGCCAAAGUGGAGAAGGGUUCCAUGUGAACAGCAGUUGAACAUGGGUCAGUUGGUCCCCAGAGUUGGGCGAGAGCCGUUCCAAGGGACCGGCAAUGGCCUCUGUUGCCCUCAGCCGAUCAAAAGGGAGUCGGGUUCAGAUCCCUGAUUCCCGAGUGGCGGAAACGGGCGCCUGGAUGUGUCCACUGCAGUAACGCUACUGACCACGGAGAAGCCAGUGUAGGCCCCAGCGAGAAUUCUCUUUUUUGAGAAGGGCAGGGCGCCGAGGAAUGGUUUCACCCUGAGAGAGGGGCCGGUGCCUUGGAAAUCUUUGAUGUUCUGUUGAAGUCCGGUGAGCGCCCGCUGGCCCUUGGACAAUAAAUCCCUGGGAGAGUGUGUAAAUCUCGAGCUGGAUCAUACCCAUAUCCUCCGGGUGUGGGUU
rnacentral:ncRNA from 1 species